CUGUGCUAGGCGGGGAGUUAGCGGUGCCCUGUACCUGCAAUCCGCUACAGCAGGGCCGAACGUCUCUCUCGACGCAGCAGAUGGAAGGCCGCGCUUUGUAAGGGGCGUUGAUCGCAAGGUCUUAUGCAACCGGAAGCUGCGAACCGUGUCAGGAUAGGGAUAUAGCAGCACUAAACAGUCCGAAGGUGUGCCAUAAGGUAGCUUUGCGGGAGUCACCUGCAAGGUUUAACGCUUCGGUUUGUUGCGGCAAAAGAGAUUGCACAG
rnacentral:SRP_RNA from 1 species